AACUUGGGCAUCUUCUUGGUGCAGGACGUCCUGUUCAGAGCUGAUAUCUGGGCUGUGACCCGACGGGGGAACCAGCUGGUCAGCAUCACGGACUUCAGCAUCGAGCAGGUGGCCGGGUCUCACUGCAUGCUGCCUCAGCCCAGAACAACCGAUCAGGUGACAGCAGAGGACCUGUCUCACCUCUCUCAGCUGAACCUCAGUAACAGUGUGAGCCUG